GUGCCAGCAGCCGCGGUAAUACGUAGGUGGCAAGCGAUACUCGGAAUCACUAGGCGUAAAGCGCAGGUAGGCGGUUUGAUAAGUCUGUUGUGAAAGCUCCCGGCUUAACUGGGAGAGGUCAACGGAAACUGUCAGGCUAGAGUGUGGUAGAGGUAGCUGGAAUUCCCGGUGUAGCGGUGAAAUGCGUAGAUAUCGGGAGGAAUACCUAUGGCGAAAGCAGGCUACUGGACCAUCACUGACGCUGAUCUGCGAAAGCUAGGGGAGCAAACAGGAUUAGAUACCCUCGUAGUCC
rnacentral:rRNA from 1 species